UCUUGGUCUAGUCGCUGUGCUUUGCUUUUGCGCCACCAAAUCGAUGGCAGAUAAUGGCAAACAAAUAAGCUCGGCAAACAUGUCGAGCUAUACAUUUAUUAAAAACUUGACGGACGUUACCAAAAUUAAGUGCUACCUAUAUUGGAUGUCCAGACUUGUCAAGAAUUCAGGAAAUAUAGUUUCUGAGUUGGCAAAAUGUGUCAAACAAUUUGGCGACAAAGCAAUGCGCGUAGUGACCGCCUUCAAAGAGCUUGUCGCAGUAAUCAGGCCCAUUUUUGAGGCCUGUACGGGUAUAAUCGUGGAUAAAGUCGUCGGUGGAGCAGCUUGUUUGAAAGCAUUUACACUAAAUGCUUUCUCUUUGUUUAGAGCAUUGAAAAAGUUCCACGACGAGGUUAACAGUGAACCACAAAGUAAAACCGCGUGCGCCAAGAUGGCGCUUGAAGAAUAUUUUGAAGCUUCCAGUGUUUACGAAGUCAUCGAUAGCUGUAUAUAUCCGGGUAAUACAACAAAUACUAAAGCUGAAGUGACUUCCAAACCUACUGAUCGGCCAUUCUACAAAAAACUAAUACCUUUUAUUUGACUAAACAAUACAUUCGAGGCUACCUGAUGAGAAGCUGUCAUUAAAAGAAUGCAUAAAGUAAAUAUACAUACAUAAGUG